AGUCGAACGGUGAUGCCCAGCUUGCUGGGCGGAUCAGUGGCGAACGGGUGAGUAACACGUGAGUAACCUGCCCCAGACUCCGGGAUAAGCCUUGGAAACGAGGUCUAAUACUGGAUACGAGACGCCCCUGCAUGGGGAGUGUCUGGAAAGAUUUAUCGGUCUGGGAUGGACUCGCGGCCUAUCAGCUUGUUGGUGGGGUAAUGGCCUACCAAGGCGACGACGGGUAGCCGGCCUGAGAGGGCGACCGGCCACACUGGGACUGAGACACGGCCCAGACUCCUACGGGAGGCAGCAGUGGGGAAUAUUGCACAAUGGGCGAAAGCCUGAUGCAGCGACGCCGCGUGAGGGAUGAAGGCCUUCGGGUUGUAAACCUCUUUCAGCAGGGAAGAAGCGCAAGUGACGGUACCUGCAGAAGAAGCGCCGGCUAACUACGUGCCAGCAGCCGCGGUAAUACGUAGGGCGCAAGCGUUGUCCGGAAUUAUUGGGCGUAAAGAGCUCGUAGGCGGUUUGUCGCGUCUGGUGUGAAAACUCAAGGCUCAACCUUGAGCUUGCAUCGGGUACGGGCAGACUAGAGUGCGGUAGGGGUGACUGGAAUUCCUGGUGUAGCGGUGGAAUGCGCAGAUAUCAGGAGGAACACCGAUGGCGAAGGCAGGUCACUGGGCCGCAACUGACGCUGAGGAGCGAAAGCAUGGGGAGCGAACAGGAUUAGAUACCCUGGUAGUCCAUGCCGUAAACGUUGGGCACUAGGUGUGGGGCUCAUUCCACGAGUUCCGUGCCGCAGCAAACGCAUUAAGUGCCCCGCCUGGGGAGUACGGCCGCAAGGCUAAAACUCAAAGGAAUUGACGGGGGCCCGCACAAGCGGCGGAGCAUGCGGAUUAAUUCGAUGCAACGCGAAGAACCUUACCAAGGCUUGACAUACACCGGAAACUUCCAGAGAUGGUUGCCCCGCAAGGUCGGUGUACAGGUGGUGCAUGGUUGUCGUCAGCUCGUGUCGUGAGAUGUUGGGUUAAGUCCCGCAACGAGCGCAACCCUCGUCUUAUGUUGCCAGCACGUCAUGGUGGGGACUCAUAAGAGACUGCCGGGGUCAACUCGGAGGAAGGUGGGGAUGACGUCAAAUCAUCAUGCCCCUUAUGUCUUGGGCUUCACGCAUGCUACAAUGGCCCGG
rnacentral:rRNA from 1 species